GUACUUUUAAAACCAGAAAUAAGUAAGAAAAGAAAUAUUCCCCAGAGCUUCUCCAGGCUACAGUCUAUGCCACCAGGAAAGACUGAAUCAUUGAGACCCAUAGGAGAGCGUGUGCUGGGAGGUCCCUGUGGGCACCAGGGAGGUGUGUUUGAACUCCAGCCCAGCCCACAUUAGCUUACCCAACAGUCCCUCAGAGCCAGCACAAUUUCAGGCCAUUAUCUCCCUGGUCACCACUGGCUCCUCAGGUGACUUGGAAGUAGAUGACUCCUCUGUGGGCCUGGGUUAGUGCCUCAAAGGCAUGCUGACCAGCACUGGUUUGGGCCAGGCUGAGAUGCUAGCCACACUCCUAUGCCCAUCCCCAAGUUCAAAGGUCAGAAGUCCUCUGAGAACAUCCAGGGUCACUACCCCUGAGGUCUCUGGUGUACUACGUGGCCCUGAUUAGGGCAAAGGGAAGUGAUCUGAGGGCCACUCUCUUCCUGUACAUACAGGGCCUUGCUGCUCUUGAGGGAUUGUCCUGGCAGGAUCAAAAGCAGCUCCUGCAUGGGGACGCCGUGUCCUCCUGCUGUUAUCAUAGUAUGCCCUGUGCUCCCAGGAGGAGGCUGAGUCUAGAUCAUAAAGGGCAUUGUGGCACCUACCUUGAUUUCUCUUGGAUCACUCAUUCUGAGGGAAGAUAGCUGCCAUGUUGGGAGGACGUGCAAGCAGCCCUGUGAAGAGGUCAACACAGGGGGGAACUGAAGCCCCUUCCAAACAGCUAGCACCAACUUGCCAGCCAUGUAAAGUGAUUCACCUUGGAAACAGAUCCUCCAGCCUCAGCCAAGCCUUCAGAUGCAACCUCAUGACAGACUCUGAACCAGAAACACACAGCCAAGCUGCUGACCCACAGACUUUGUGAGAGAUCAUAAACAUUUACUGUUGUUCUAAGACACUGUUUUAGGGUGCUUUGUUGUACAACAAUAGCUUACUGAAAAUACAGAGAGCCUAGCACAGUGCCUGCAUGUGGUCAUCACUCAAUGGUUGAGCGAGUGAAUCUUGCUUAGUAUUGAACACUCCCACUGACAGCUAACUGUACCAUCUCUCAAAACAAUUCAUUCUAUCUUUGGGCAAUUCUGUUAAAGAUUAUUAGAAUUAAAUUGGAUCUUUCUCAAUACAGCUUCCACAUCUUGGUCUUAUUUUUACUGCUCUUUCAAAAAUCAUUAAACUGGAAUCUUUCUUAACAUAGCUUCUACA
rnacentral:lncRNA from 10 species